UGGGGAAUAUUGCACAAUGGGGGAAACCCUGAUGCAGCGACGCCGCGUGAACGAAGAAGGUAUUCGUAUCGUAAAGUUCUGUCCUAUGGGAAGAUAAUGACAGUACCAUAGAAGAAAGCUCCGGCUAAAUACGUGCCAGCAGCCGCGGUAAUACGUAUGGAGCGAGCGUUGCCCGGAAUUAUUGGGCGUAAAGGGUACGCAGGCGGUUUAAUAAGUCGAAUGUUAAAGAUCGGGGCUCAACCCCGUAAAGCAUUGGAAACUGAUAAACUUGAGUAGUGGAGAGGAAAGUGGAAUUCCUAGUGUAGUGGUGAAAUACGUAGAUAUUAGUAGGAAUACCAGUAGCGAAGGCGACUUUCUGGACACAAACUGACGCUGAGGUACGAAAGCGUGGGGAGCAAACAGG
rnacentral:rRNA from 1 species